GGGGGCAUAGCUCAGCUGGGAGAGCAGCAGACUGAAGUAUAGUGACUGAUCCGUGCAUUUAAAUUCUGAAGGUUCGGCGUUUGAUUCGCGGUGCCCCCA